AAAUAACAAGAGACGUAGAAGAGUAGCUGCGGGCAGGCGCAAAAGAGAGUAAACGGCUGGUGGAAGUUUACCGGUGCCUGCAGUGAAAGUAACUAUGAUAAGUUUUGUGUGAACGUUCGCGGAACACCGAAGUCAAACCCGGUCCGUAUGAACAAGUAAUCCAAUACGUGCGGUGAGCGUUAAUCACCAAGUUGAGAUGCAGGCAGACAGUAUGCCUGAAUUUAGGUGGCACCGCGGAACUCCCGUCCUAUUU
rnacentral:ncRNA from 1 species